rnacentral:snRNA from 1 species
AUACUUACCUGGCAGGAAAGAUACCAUGAUCCCGAAGGUGGUAUCCCUCAAAUGUGCGAUUUCCCCAAAUGUGGGAAAUUUGACUGAAUAAUUUGUGAUAGUAGGGGACUGCGUUUGCCCUCUCCCUUG